GCGGACGUGGUGCGCGGCGCACUGCUGCAAUUAAUUCAAAGGCGUUACCAGCUUGAAGCAGCUAGACGGGGUUCGACUCCCCGCGUCCGCA